rnacentral:rRNA from 1 species
UACGGAGGAUGCGAGCGUUGUCCGGAAUUACUGGGUGUAAAGGGAGCGUAGGCGGGAUUGCAAGUCAGAUGUGAAAACUAUGGGCUUAACCUAUAGACUGCAUUUGAAACUGUAGUUCUUGAGUGAAGUAGAGGUAAGCGGAAUUCCUAGUGUAGCGGUGAAAUGCGUAGAUAUUAGGAGGAACAUCGGUGGCGAAGGCGGCUUACUGGGCUUUUACUGACGCUGAGGAACGAAAGCGUGGGGAGCAAAUAGG